rnacentral:misc_RNA from 1 species
AACGCACAUUGCGCUUCCUGGUAUUCCGGGGAGCAUGCCCGUUUCAGAAUCAUUAAAAAUCUCACAUAACUGGGUGCUUUCGGGCAUUUGGCCAAUGUGGAUUUGGAUUUUUGCGUUAGCAAUCAUCUUAAAAUGAUUGUAUGUGCACCAAAUGAUGUUUUGGUUGUUAUAAGUGCAACAGAUUUAUCUAUUACGCUUUUGGCAAUUGAAUGCAUUGUUGGGAGUGCAUACUCAAACCAUUACACGGCGGACGCAUCGGAUGAGGCGGCUGCUGAUAACUUGGUCUGAAAUCGGGCAAGAAAACCCGCUGAACUUAA